UUUUAUCUUGCCCAACCUCCUUGCAGCCAGUGUGCAAUAGCAGUUAAACGAGUUGUGCCUGUCGUUGAUAUCUAGAGAAAGCUCAUUUUCCCUAAUUCUGAGUUGAUCCCAAAUAUGUAAAUGGGAGGUUUCUCUCAAAAGGCAAAAUGUAUAUGUCUAUACAUUUGGACUUGGCAGUCCCAUAAACCAGGCAAGGGUUAAGAGUGUACAAAGAAAGAGUUCUUGCGCCAUCUACUGGCCAUCUCCAAGCCUCCCGCUCCUCCUUCACAUCUAAAGGGACCCUGUUGUAUCUCGUAUUGAAGAGAUCUGUCCCUGAGACGAGUGUUUUUCUUAGGCAUACUAAUUUUCGAAUCUAUUUUUUUCCCGGACAGAUUCUGACCCAAAUAUUUUGGUGGUCAAGUUCCAUAGACCCAGGUUCGUAUUGACGAUCUGACCCAUUCGAGAACUUGGUGCUAGCUCAAGAGUUAGGUAGGGCUGCAGUGCAGACUCUGGAAUAGGUAAUUGCCAGUGCCUGUCCGUGGUCCUAUUUGCAUGCAGGGAAGGGUAGUGGGGAGCGUCUUUGUGUAUCAUUCAAACAAACGGACUGCACUGUCUUGAGUUUUCAGCUCCUCACCCUGUUCACAAAUGAAGAACCCCGUCCUGUGCAGUAUGCAAUCACCCUAUCCAGCCUUUGUCCCUGAGCUCGCCUUGGAGCUGGCGGCUCACUGGACCAAGGCAGUUGCGUCUGGAGGGAGUUCUGCUCUGGAAAGUGGGCACCCAAAAAGCACCCACAGUCGUCAAUAGCAAGUGGGUUCAACCUAUUAGAAGGAUUCUCAGCUCCUCCCUGGGAAUGUGACAUUCUGUGUGAGUCUGCCAUUGAAAGAGAGAGGGAGAAGAGGAUACAGCAGGAGAGCGCACACUGGGGCUGUCAUAAGGAAUAAGGCUGCUUCUUUAUGAAAAAUGAUGGAAGGUGUUUUUGUUGUUUGUUUUUUUUUUCCUACGCGUAGGUGUUUUCUCAAGUGUUUUUGCAGUGCAUGUGUGUGUGUGUGUGUGUGUGUGUGUGUGAGAGAGAGAGAGAGAGAGAGAGAGAGAGAGAGAGAGAGAGAGAGAGAACACAGGGUUUUCUCUUCUGAGUAGAGUUCAGAAAAGGCAAAACUGUAGACGCCCAACUGACCUCAUUAAAUUUCAAAGGAUCAUUUAGAAGCUGCAGGGCAGAAUACCCAUUCCUUCCCAACAGUGCCCCUGCUACAGUCUGCAUAGGCGGAUUUGGAAAGAGAGUCAGGACAAGGUUGGGACUAGCCUGCAAUUGGGAGGAUCAACACAGCAGAUGUCAUUAGCCUGCUCAGCCACCUUGGCAAUGGCGGUGGCAUUGAUUUCAGUCAAGAUGUCAGGGUGCUUUGCUGUGAGCGUUGCAUUAGCUGGGCUGAACGACGAGGUAGAUGCGAACUUAAUGAGAACAUAGCCCAAGAUUUCUUACCAAGCUGCAGAGGUCAGUCAUCCCGGCUGGGUUUACUUUAGGGUAUCUCAUCUCUUUGAACUCAUAUGACUAUCCCUCUUAAACUAAAGAAGGUAGUUUCUCAGACGUUUGGGGGAUUUUCAUUGUAAUUAUUCUUUACAAAAUAAAAUGUGCCAAGACACCGAUUUCUAUUGCCCAUUAUCUGGUUAGAUCAUAAUACAUCGAAUAACACUAUAGUUUCCUGUUCCUACAGCUUACCAUAAAUCACAAGCCAUUUUUCACUCACAGCCUCCAGCUUCUGAGACAGGAUAGAAAAAAAAAAAACAAACUCACAUUUUACAGUCAGUAAAAGUUAAGGCUUGAUGAGAUGAAGAGGAUUAUCCGCGGUGGUCAUCAGGAGCCCUGACUUGCAGUCUGGUAUACUUAGGCCUGGACCACACUUACCUUUUAUGAGCAGGCUCUCUUCAAAGGAAUGUUUCUGAAAGUAUUCUGGAAACACAACCAUCAGACAGUGUCCUGGAUGAGAAGUCACUCAAGUUACCCAGAAAGAAAAAUACAAUAGCUCUCUGUAUUUGGCAGCAGGAAUCACCCGUUGCUGUACACCUAUACUAAAGCAGCAAAGCCACUGGCCAUCUAGCAUACAGGUCAUGAAAAACAGGGAGUUGGCAAGGAUCAUGAAGACAAUCACAAUGAUUAAGUUCCCUUAAGAGCUUUUAAAAAGAGUGCAGCAAUAAUCCACAUUUGUUUGAGAAGAAGAUGGUGUGAUUUCUCAUAUUCACCCUACAUGACUCUGGAAGAAUCAGUCCCAUUGAAGAAGAUAAGUUGUCAGUCAGGGGUAAAGAUAUCCGGCCUUUUGCUGCUAAUAAGGAUCGCUGGGGGGCACAAGGGAGUGUCUUAGAGUGGUAACCAGUGUGCUGCCCUGGAUAUGUAUCAUCUUGAGUCCUCACUUCUCUAAGACAUUUCCUUCAUACUGACAAUUUUCAAUGUUUUAAAGCUUUUAGCCAAAUUAAGAAAGCACACAAAUUUAUGUAAGCACAAGAAAAAUAGUAUGUUAUUUUAAAGAAACAGAGUCCAAAGAAACUUUAAAAUGGAAGGCAGGCAGCAUCUGCUGCUGUUUGCAUACAAACGCUUUUUAGAUGGACAAAUGUAAGUUUUAAUUGACCUGAACUAUAUAUCUAAUACUUUUCUGUUAGUAUUCAGACUUUCUUCUCAACAUCUGCCUUCCAAGGUAAAGUAGAUUUAUUACAUAUUGCAUAUAUUAUUUAAUAUAAGUGCUAUGUUAGGCCAGCUUUGUUUCUGCAAAGAAGAGUCAUGGCUAAGGGAUGGAACAUGUGGGACAGCAAUCCUGAGAGGCAGAGGGGAAGAUCAGUAAAGAUGCAUUUAUGUGAAGAGUGUUCAACUUCUUGUUCUCCUGGGGCUGAUUUCACUUCACUUUUCUCCAAGUAUUGGGAAACCAGAAAAAAUAAAAAUAAAGAGCAGCUUUGCAGUGUAGUAAGGAUAGUGGACAACUCUGUGUUCCAUAAGUGA